AAGGAAUGCUUCCAGGCUGUCACUGCCAGCAUCCAGAAAAGGACCUGACUAAUGCUUCCUUUGAGAAAAGCACCGUAAAGCAUGAUUGGCUCCAUUCUCCAACAGACAAAGUGGAUGUGGCAACCCCAGACCUUCCAACCUUUCAGCUGCAAGUUCAACAGGAAUAAAGACUUCUUCCCAGUGGUUUCUUCAAAAGCCCUCAGAUUAGCUGUUUGCCUAGCUUGUCACAUGCCACCCCAGAACCAAUCCCUAUGGCCAGAGAAAUGUAGCGUAUUGAUUGGUUUAGCCCUAGGUCACAUGACCCACCUCUGGAAAAGGGCUCAAUCCUCACUCAAACUGCUUUGGCUGAAGGCUUGGAAGAGAUGGAGCCAAGGAAAGUAGACACUGGGGAUGCAAAAAUAAAAGUUCAAUAAGUAUGCCUUUAAAUACGGACCAGAUACUGAAUAUUAAAAACCAGCACAUUCUGAAAA